rnacentral:rRNA from 1 species
UACGUAGGGUGCGAGCGUUGUCCGGAAUUACUGGGCGUAAAGAGCUCGUAGGUGGUUUGUCGCGUUGUUCGUGAAAACUCACGGCUUAACUGUGAGCGUGCGGGCGAUACGGGCAGACUGGAGUACUGCAGGGGAGACUGGAAUUCCUGGUGUAGCGGUGGAAUGCGCAGAUAUCAGGAGGAACACCGGUGGCGAAGGCGGGUCUCUGGGCAUUAACUGACGCUGAGGAGCGAAAGCAUGGGGAGCGAACAGG